AUUGUUUUAUACAAUAUACAAUGUAUAUUCACUUUUACUACCAACUGAUAGAUUAAAACAAUCUUUACCAUUCAGUGAUAACAAGCACUUUUUUUACAUUUUAAUAUUUUAUGAUGUAUUUAAAUGAGUAGUUAUUGUUGCAAACUUCAUUAGAAAUUUGAAUUGAGAUCAGUUUUGAAAUAAGGGAAAGGGGGAUGUGAAAAAAAAAUUGGAGGGUCAAUUUUUUUUCAUUUCAGAUUUCAUAAAUAAAAAGAAAAUUUCUUCAAACAUUUUUUUGAGAGGAUUAAUAUUCAACAGCAUAGUGAAUUGCUCAAAGGCAAACAUUUUUUUUUAAGUUCAUUAGACCACAUUCAUUCUGUGUCAGAAACCUAUCAACUAUUUAAUCACAAUCCAAAUUUAGAGCUGAAUCCAGCUUGAAUGUUGUGUCCAUACUUGCCCCAACCGUUCAGGGUUCAACCUCUGCGGUCGUAUAAAGCUGC
rnacentral:lncRNA from 1 species